GAGUUUGAUCAUGGCUCAGAUUGAACGCUGGCGGCAUGCUUUACACAUGCAAGUCGAACGGUAACAGGGAGCUUGCUCCGCUGACGAGUGGCGAACGGGUGAGUAAUGCGUCGGAACGUGCCGAGUAGUGGGGGAUAACGCAUCGAAAGGUGUGCUAAUACCGCAUACGAACUGAGGUUGAAAGUGGGGGACCUUCGGGCCUCACGCUAUUCGAGCGGCCGACGUCUGAUUAGCUAGUAGGUGAGGUAAAGGCUCACCUAGGCGACGAUCAGUAGCGGGUCUGAGAGGAUGAUCCGCCACACUGGGACUGAGACACGGCCCAGACUCCUACGGGAGGCAGCAGUGGGGAAUUUUGGACAAUGGGCGCAAGCCUGAUCCAGCCAUGCCGCGUGUCUGAAGAAGGCCUUCGGGUUGUAAAGGACUUUUGUCUGGGAGCAAAUACCCGGUGUUUAUAGCGGCGGGGGCUGAGAGUACCAGAAGAAUAAGCACCGGCUAACUACGUGUCAG
rnacentral:rRNA from 1 species